rnacentral:rRNA from 1 species
GACCUCGGAUCAGGUAGGAAUACCCGCUGAACUUAAGCAUAUCAAUAAGCGGAGGAAAAGAAACCAACAGGGAUUGCCCUAGUAACGGCGAGUGAAGCGGCAACAGCUCAAAUUUGAAAUCAUGCCUCGGCCCGAGUUGUAAUUUGCAGAGGAUGCUUCUGGCCGGGUGCCUUCCGAGUUCCCUGGAACGGGACGCCACAGAGGGUGAGAGCCCCGUAUGGUCGGGACACCAAGCCUGUGUGAAGCUCCUUCGACGAGUCGAGUAGGUUGGGUAAU